CGGGGUGCAGCAGGCGCGAAAACUCUACAAUGCAGGCAACUGCGAUAGGGGAACAUCGAGUGAUCCUCAUAUUGGGGGUCUGUCCACCCGCCUAAAAAGCGGGUGUUAGCAAGGGCCGGGCAAGACCGGUGCCAGCCGCCGCGGUAAUACCGGCGGCUCGAGUGGUGGCCGAUAUUAUUGAGUCUAAAGGGUCCGUAGCCGGCUUUGCAAGUCUCUCGGGAAAUCCAGCGGCUUAACCGUUGGUCGUCCGGGGGGUACUACAUUGCUUGGGACUGGGAGAGGUAGGAGGUACUCAGGGGGUAGGAGUGAAAUCCUGUAAUCCUUUGGGGACCACCGGUGGCGAAGGCGUCCUACCAGAACAGGUCCGACGGUGAGGGACGAAAGCUAGGGGCACGAACCGGAUUAGAUACCCGGGUAGUCCUAGCCGUAAACGAUGCUCGCUAGGUGUCACAACAGUCGUGAACUGUUGUGGUGCCGUAGGGAAGCCGUGAAGCGAGCCACUUGGGAAGUACGACCGCAAGGUUGAAACUUAAAGGAAUUGGCGGGGGAGCAC
rnacentral:rRNA from 1 species